rnacentral:SRP_RNA from 1 species
GUUCCGGCGCGGUACAACUGUGAAACGUAAACCCCGCCAGGGAGGGAACUCAGCAACGGUAGCGCGUAGCGGUGUGUUGCUGCUCAACCGGGGCCUG